AUUGAACGCUGGCGGCAGGCCUAACACAUGCAAGUCGAACGAGUGGCGGACGGGUGAGUAAUGUCUGGGAAACUGCCUGGUGGGGGGGGAUAACUACUGGAAACUGUAGCUAAUACCGCAUAAUAUCAUAUGCGCCCAGAUGGGAAUAGCGUGUUGGUGGGGUAACGGCUCACCGAGGCGACUAUCCCUAGCUGGUCUGAGAGGAUGACCAGCCACACUGGAACUGAGACACGGUCCAGACUCCUACGGGAGGCAGCAGUGGGGAAUAUUGCACAAUGGGCGCAAGCCUGAUGCAGCCAUGCCGCGUGUAUGAAGAAGGCCUUCGGGUUGUAAAGUACUUUCAGCGGGGAGGCGUUACCCGCAGAAGAAGCACCGGCUAACUCCGUGCCAGCAGCCGCGGUAAUUC
rnacentral:rRNA from 1 species